rnacentral:misc_RNA from 1 species
GAUGAAGAACGUAGCAAAAUGCGAUAAGUAAUGUGAAUUGCAGAAUUCAGUGAAUCAUCGAAUCUUUGAACGCACAUUGCGCCCGCUGGUAUUCCGGCGGGCAUGCCUGUUCGAGCGUCAUUUCAACCCUCAAGCCCCCGGGUUUGGUGUUGGGGAUCGGCUCUGCCCUUCUGGGCGGUGCCGCCCCCGAAAUACAUUGGCGGUCUCGCUGCAGCCUCCUUUGCGUAGUAGCUAACACCUCGCAACUGGAACGCGGCGCGGCCAUGCCGUAAAACCCCAACUUCUGAAUGUUGACCUCGGAUCAGGUAGGAAUACCCGCUGAACUUAAGCAUAUCAAUAAGCGGAGGA